rnacentral:rRNA from 1 species
UUGUGGAGAAUGGUAUAAACCCGGAUCCAGCUAUACCGCUUGUAUGAUGAAGGCCUUCNGGUUGUNANAUACUUUUGGCAGAGAANAAAAGGUAUCUCCUAAUACGAGAUACUGCUGACGGUAUCUGCAGAAUAAUCACCGUCUAACUACGUGCAAGCAGCCGCUGUAAUACGUAGGGUUCAAGCGUUAAUUUGAAUAACUGGGCGUAAAGCUGAGGUAGGCGGUUCGGAAAGAAAGAUGUGAAGCCCCAGGACUCAACCAUGGAACUGCAUUUUUAACUGCCAAGCUAGAGUAUGUCAGAGGGUGGUAGAAUUCCACGUGUAACAGUGAAAUGCGUAGGUAUGUGGAGGAAUACCGAUGGCGAAGGCAGCCCCCUGGGAUAAUACUGACGCUCAGACACAAAAGCGUGGGGAGCAAACA